AAGAUGGAAAACAAAUUUGGUCUGCUGUUUUUUGUCAUUUGCUUUACAGGUGUUGAUAGUCAGACUCUGACUGAAUCUGAUCCAGUGGUUAUAAGACCAGGAGAAUCCCACAGACUGACAUGUACAGCCUCUGGAUUCACAUUCAGCAGCUACUGGAUGGCCUGGAUCAGACAGGCUCCUGGAAAAGGACUAGAAUGGGUUGCUGCUCAUUAUGACGAUCGCAACCUACAUUAUUCUCAGUCAGUUCAAGGCCGAUUUACCAUCUCCAGAGACAACAGCAAACAGCAGCUGUAUCUGCAGAUGAACAACUUGAGAACAGAAGAUUCUGCCGUUUAUUAUUGCGCUCGAGAUGCACAGUGA